rnacentral:lncRNA from 1 species
GCCAGGUGAGUCGAGGGUCCUGGCUGAGUGACCUAAUUGCCAUCUGUGGCGAUGAUUCCUACUCCCAACCACGAACGUUUAGAAUCACUCUUGGAUAGAGUAAGCUGGGAGCAUAAAACAAGGACAGUGAUCCUCGCUGGCCCGCCACCUGUCUGGGAAAUUAUGAAAUUGUGAAAAUUCAGAUGUUAAUGACAACAUUCUCAAAAUAAAGAUUUGUUUGCAAAUAA